UUCUACUAUUAGUCAUUAUUCAGCCACGACACGUAUAACAUCGUUAAUAAGCUCUUGUUCUGAAAGGGAUCAGGAUUUUCGUUUUCGAAGAACGGCUUACUUGUGUUGUGUUAGCAGAUUUGGAAUUUGUCCCAGAAUAGGAUAACUUACAAACGAAUGCUCCGAGAUAAUGUUCAACGUCUAUUUCUGACGCUACAAGUUAUUGUGGCGAACUUAAUCUGCUGAGUGGUCUCCAAUGCGCAACGUGAAUUAGGAUUGUAUCAAUAUUGUGAUGAUUACAGUGUAGAUGUUUGAUGUCAAUACACGUGUCAGAAAGUUACCCAAUAACAACUUACCACGAUCUGCUUCUGACAAGAAUAAGGCAAAACGUCUUACAUACAUCUAGUGCGCCUAAAUGCAAACCAUGCCCUAUGAAUGCGCACCUUUCGAGACCUUCAAAGGUUCCUGGAACAAAGCUCGUCAAGAUCAGGCCGCAAAUUGUUUCAAAAAGUAAGGAUUUGCGUGACCUGCAAACAAGGUACGUGCCAUGCAGAUCACGGCAGUACAACAAUCGCUAUUAGAAGAAUCGGAGGCCUAAGAUUGAAAAUAGCUUUAACGCAAAGGCAGGUCUGCCUACAUAAUACGACUGUUCGAUGCAAACAUUCAC